AGAAGACCUCUUUUGAAAAUCUCUUGAAGUCUUUGCAGAGUUCUCUAAACAUGACCAGGAGGCCAAUCAUGAGGAGGAGUGAGAUGUUUUGAGGGAAAAUAGUCAAUAUACGUAAACUAAGUUCAAUACCAAUUCUUUGACUUGAAUAACGUUUUAUCAUCCCAGCAUUUUUGUCAGGUUAUCGCCGACCAGACUUCAUCUGGAAGCUCACGAAUGGCUUUGCAGCAUUGGUAAAGUCAGGUUCUCGUGGACUAACAACACUGUUUCUUGAUGUGAUUGUCCUCUGAAACUUCUCCUGAUUAUGCCUCGAGUUUUGAGUUGCCUUCUUUCUCUCACAUGAUCUCAUUCUUUUCAGGAUCAAGAUAUUUUAACUUCUGUGUUUAGCGCCUUUAAUAGAUUGAGCUAAGAAGUCUAAGCAAUCUUCAGGGCUAAGAAACAAGCUGCACUUGCCAGAGUUGGAUGUUCACACCUUGGUGAUGGCUGAUAUUAAACAGAAUUCUUAAUGAACAAAUCGGCCUUGAAAAGGGAACAUGGUGAAGCAAGACAAAAGAAUUACAAACUUUGACUGAAACUUUCUCCUACCAGGAAUACAGGGACCGCUCACCAGGUUGUGAUGAGAAGGAUCAUCUGAAAUGCUCCAUUGCUCUCAGAAGUUGAGGUAACUUCAUUGGGCCCAAACUGAUAAACUAGGAAUGGCUCAGAAAAUAGCCCCUUAGAAGAACUGUAUGAAGCUUGGAUCCAUUUUUCUGUUUCACUGACCCUUCUUAACCGCUAGUGGCUCAGAGGUCUGGUGAGGUGGUGAGAGCUGUCCUAGAUGACAUGCACCUGGAGCCCAAAUGUGGGAGAAAAAAGAAAAAUCCCUCCAAUGAUUUGGUGAGGAGUUGAAGACAAAUAUCUUUAUUAUUUAUAAGUAUUCUGGCCAAGACAAUGAGUGUUGGAGUGGGAGGAUGAGGGAAUUUUAUGAUGAACGACAGCACAGCAAGAUGGACAGUAAGGCUCUGUCAUUGCCAUACCAGAUGUACAGAAGUGGCAUUUCAACUAAGGACACUGAAUAUGAAACAGACCUUGGAAAAGAGAGGAUGGAGUUAACUCUGAGAACAGAAAUCACCUACCUCUCUCCUCCCUAAACACACAGCUUACUGUCUAUAAUAAUAUACCCUUACUGGUCCAUUGUCCUCAUUAACAUAACUACAAUUCCAGGAGACUCUUGCCCAGGCAAAUUGCUUUAUUGUUCAUUACAGAGAGUUUUUGAAACAAAGAACCAUCAAUGCUUCAACAGAAAGCAUCAACAGUUUAUACCCCAAGAUCUUAGAACUCCUCACUUCCAAAUCCUCACUAUGCUAAUCCUAAACUAUUAUGUCAUGAUUUUUACCUAAACAAGACCCUGCAUGGAAAGAUCCUCUUUAUACAAUCUUUCAUUUUUUUGUCCUGGCUUUAAAAUGCAAAGCCCAUAUCCUUGGAAUUCCCUCUGUCUUGGGCAAAGUGUGACAGUUGGCCACCCUACUCCAAAAUCUCAUAAUUUUCCCACCUUGCCCCUCUAGAGACUAUCAAUCUCUGUUGAGGUGGUUCUCUCUUUCCAGGGUGAGCAAUAAACUCCUUGCCAGAGCUUUCCAUUGGGGGAGGAGGGUUUGAACUACUGCCAGAGACAAACAGAUGUAAACUAGAUGCAGGAGUUUGGAAAUUGAGCAGGGUUUGCAGUCUGGAAAAUUGCUCCACAAGAGACUGUCGUUGAACGAGUAGUCCUGAGUGAGUGGUCUAAGAGAACGUCAGAGUGAAAGAAAAUGCAGCCCACCUGGGUCAGCUGAAAAGGUAGAGAAUAAAAGGGAAAUGAAAUGCAGCUGCUAGUAACAGUUGAUUAAAUGAGGCUGGCAACUUACAUGGAGGCUGGAAGAGGAGAAAUGUGGGAGAGGCAGCAAGGAGAGAGAAGGAAACAUGAAGGAGGAGAAGAUUUCUAGAAGGAAAUGUAAGAGCUACAAAGGAGAAAGAUGAAUGAGAGACCCCACAAGAAAACAGCAGGGAAAAGAAGCUGCUUUCUGAGUUGAUGGUUGUUUCUAGUUUGGGGCUAUUAUGAAGAAAGCUGCUAUGAAGAACAUCCAUGUACAAAUCAUUUUAUGGACACACAUACUCAUUGCUCUUGGGUAAAUAUCUAGGAAUAUGAUUUAUGGAUCAUAG
rnacentral:lncRNA from 1 species